UCCCUCCCCUUGUGCGGCGCCUGUGGGCACGCUGAGGUGGUGGGCAUUUUGUGGUGGCGAAGGCUGGGGACAGUGGAGCUUCCCUGACGUGUGGUAGCAGCUGCUCUGACUGCUCUCCGAUGGGUUGAGGCUUACACUUACCUGUCUUCUGAAGACAAAUCGUAGCUAGCAGAGGGAAGCUGGAAUAUGAGACUGAUUGGCUGGGGAGCCUGUUGAAGACCUACGAUUAAGACCUGCAAAAGAUCUGGGAGAAUUUCAUUGACCAGUUUUUUUCUAAGGCAUCCCCGGGGCUCACAGGCAGGCCCUGUUCUUUGCCUUGUGCCUUCCUGCUCCAGCCGGUCAGAGGGUCGGAAGGAGGCAGGUUCAAACAUGUGGAGGCCCGAGGUGAAUCCUUGAAUCCUGGAGGAGCUGAGUGCUCUCUUCCAUCAGAAUAGAGUAUGGAACUCCCCCCCCCCCUCCCCCCCAGCUGAGGACGCACCUUCCAUGCAGUACUGGACAGCUGGCCAUGGUCUAAUGUGGCUGAGAUCUGCAGGCAAACACACAGAAAGGUAACUGAAGAGGAAGAUAAGAGUCUCAGCCUCUCAGUUGUGUUCCUGACUCCUGCCAUAGUGAUCCUGUUCUUUGGGCCCCACGCUAGCACCAGGUUGCCAAGACUUAUUCAGCUGGGAAAACUCAAGCAAGGAGGAACGACGUGGCUUCCCCAAGGUGAUCUGCAAAGUUGGUGUCAGACCAGGAGUCUGUGUUUCCUGCCUGCUGUGUGGGUGCCGUGUCUCAUCACGCUGCGAAGGUUUCUUCUAUGCUGAAAGGCGGAAUUUUGGUAUGAUGCUACAUGGACCCUGGAGGUGGUGUUUGGCUACAUAUGCGGCUACAUCUCCCUCAGCUUCAGGGGUGCUCCGAGCAAGUGGCGAGAAGAAACUGUUUGAUGACCCUCAUGAACAAAAAUCUCCAUUUACGUGCACUUCAUAAACUGUCACCUGCUUUACCAAGGCUUCCUACCUCUGCCAAGAGAAAGUCAGUUUUUCUGGAAGAAGAUCAGCUGUGAGGUUACACUGAGGCUUCUGGCUUCUGAUGUCCCAGAAGUGAGAAAAAGUAUCCCAGAUAACUGAGACCAAGCAGCCUAGUACAUGAAUGCAGUAAGUUGUUUUUCUGAUUCUUCCAGUAAAAAUUCUAUGAGAAAUUUCACAGUAACUGUAGCUGGGAAAGAGCUCCUGGUCAUUUCCUCAUGUAUCUUGAUCAGCACUCACCUCAGAUUAGUUUUCCUUCUCAUAGUCUGUCAGCAGCCCUGAGAUCAAGGAGAUUAAAACACCCUGGUAACUCAUUAAUGAGCUAGGGCUCUCUGCAACAGCUGGACCAGAAAUGGCCUGUAUUUGGCUUCAUCUUAGUUCUUUGCCAUCUCCCCUCUGCUCAUCAACAUGUGCACGUAUUUGGGACCCAGUAUAAGAAGACCCCUGAAUUCAGCUCUGAGCAACCAGUCCGCAAUGCAUAUGUCUAAUGCUCUGCUGGUGUGGAACCAGUAUGCUGGUAAUCCUGUUAGUGUUGUCAGAAGCUCCCUCUAGGAAAUUAUAACAAAUAGUCUUAAACAAUUCCUUUUGUUGACAACUUUAUCCAAGAAACCAUCUUCCCUGGAGACUUCACUGAACUUUUGACUAAUCCCCUCCUUCCCUCAGGAGCUCUUUUGUUGAAGGAGAUUGUAGGCAAACCCCAGGAAUGACAGGUCUCUGUAAGCCUUGGAUCAGCCUCUACAUUCUUUCAAUUGUCAGUCCCCAUCUGUCCUGUUUGUACAUCGAUCUGCUGGUCCAGGGAUCUCUCUAUUAAGUGACACAUGGCUGCAUUUAUUCUGCCAGUCCAGUGUCCAGACUCUGCUGUUACAUCUUCGUUGCCAAGUCAAUCUUUCUGACAUUGCUUUCUGAAAAACAAAAGGCAGGACAUC